AGUAGUUUGAAAGCAUAAAUAAAAAUAAAAUAAAUUCGUACCUAAGCAUCUCUACAUCUUGCUUUGUCAAAAUCUAUGCACUAAUCAGCUCAUUAGUCCCACUCAAACAGCCAUUCAUUAACUAUAAUAUAAUUAUGAGCCUUAUACUUCUUAUCAACUGUGAGCCAUGCGUCCGCCUCGGCAUUCGACGCGAGAGUGAACGGAAAACAGAAAACGUGCCAGACGCUCAUCUGAGCCGAGCGGGGAGGGGCUUACAGAUCUACCGACCUAUCCAUGUUACUAACACACAAUUAUAGACCCUGUUUCAAGGUAAUAAAGGCGUUAACAAUUCAGUAACAAAAUGGUACUGCACGCAUCCCGCCCCUCUAACGAAGGCCAACCAUUGGCUUAUUUAAAAAUCGAUUCCAUUUUAUAAAUAUGUAACCGUUGCGUCUUUCCGCUCUCCAAACGGCUUUAUACCGCAAACUUGCAACUAUGAAUUCAACCUUAUUUUGUAGGCGAGAAAUUUAAAUUUCGAAUAGCGAGAGCAUAGUGAUGUGCUGUUCAUUAUCGAUAUUGAGUCAAUUGUUUUACCGACAUGUCUACGUCUUUGUUUUAUUUAAAAGAGACCCACUAGAUGUUUUUUUCUCGACAGUUUCGUGACAGUUUUUUUAUGCGAUGAAAUAAACAAUGAAUGUCGUACUUACGUGGGUGAAAUUGAAACGGUCAUAAAUAAUGGUGUAUUUAUGAUUUAUGGAAAGUUAAAGAUACAGUGAAACCUGGACAAGAGGGACGUCGAGGGACCAGCAAAUUUGUCGCGCUUGAAGAGGAGUUCCUCUAAUUCAGUGUCUCGGAUAGCCAGGUAUAAAUAAGUAUAUAUACACACCAAAGUUGGCAAAGAUGAGGCUCCGGCGGAAGGUCUUGGAGUAGCGAAAGACGAGUGGCACCACGGCCACGUGGACCACCAGUAGCCCCGCAGUCAGCGCGCUUCCAAGUAGGAGCAACCUGCACCAAAAACGAUGUUCAGGGGAUAGACAUUGGUGCGGAACAAAAAAUAAAAGGUCGUCCUUGGAGACACCUGUAACUGGGCUAAGUGAUUACCGGAAACGACAUUGAAGGCAUUCAAUCGAAGACAUAAUAUGUAAGUCUAGAGGUC